rnacentral:lncRNA from 1 species
AAUGAAUGGAUGACGCCGUUUACCGUGUCUUAGCCAAGGCGUCGAGGCCUCAUACCGGCAUCAGUACAGCUAAGUCCACAAACUUGGAGCGAUUAAAAACGAGCCAUUCCACUAUUUGUUUUUACGCUAAUGUGUUGCAAUACGAAGCCGGUGCUUUUUAUACAAUAAUUUAGUCGUGAGAGAUGACUCCCCAAUGGCGAACCACACCAAGCGUCUCCGAGGUUACCCCGCUAGCACAGCCAUCCUGAUAGCAGCCCAGCUUGUUUUUUCCCGCAAUUUAUUCUUGGUUCUGAUUCGCGCUGAAUCUUCCGUAUCCCAACAAUCUGGACUCUCUUCUCGAGACGAACCGGGAGCGAGCCACAGAAUACUUCCGGACACUAAUGACCUGGUCAUCCGGGCAGUACGUGGUGCAGUGGAGAAAACCAAGCUACGCAGGAACCCCGAACUUAGAAGCCCAAAAGCCCGGAACCAGGUUGCACGUCAGAUCCGAAGACGAAGACAAAGAUCCCACAGUGCCACCGCCACCCCCGAAGACGGUCGAGUUCGAGGAAGAUGGGGAUCCCGCGUACGGGAAGCCGGUGGCUUAUGUGAUGGACCCGCACGAGGACCAGCUCAACGAGCGGAUCGAAGCCAAUGGGGUGGAGAUCUGGGCGAGCAACCCUUGCCAAUGGUACAACGCCGGCUCGAAGUCGCACCCGAACAAAAAGGGAAUGAAGCACUGUAACGACGCCAAGGAGCAUCUUGAAAAAGCCGGCUUCAAGGACGGUGACAGCUCUCUCUGCCCCAAGAUAGAUGGCGCCGACUGCUUUCAGGUCAAAGACAAAUUCAUGUCCGGGCGCUGCUACGCACGGGUCGUCUCCGGUAACAACCUGCACCACUACGUUCUCAUGAACAACUGCGUCCGGGACUGGAUGAAGACCAAACACAUCCGCGGGACGGAAUGGCCGACGGCCAAUGCGAACAGCACCCUGCCUGCCACUCCUGAGGUACCCCAUGAGCCGACGGACAUACUACCCGACGGAGACCCGAAGUACCGGCAACCGGAAGAACGCUCUGACGACCCACCCGACGAUGUCCUUAACCGCGAGAUGAACGUCAACGGACACAUGAUCUGGUUCCGCAACCCUUGCGAAGACUACGGUCGAGACACGCACUCCGCUGAGAACCACGAUCGGCGACAAGGCUGCCACAAGCUUGCACAUGCCAUUCACGACGCUGGCUUCAAGAACGGCCAGUCGAAGCUGUGUCCACAGAUCGACGGCGCUGAUUGCUUCCAGUUUUUCGAGAAGGAAAAAGGAAGCCGUUGCUACGCCAAAGUCAAGGCACCGGACGGUCUUAAAUACGUUCUAUUCUAUAGUUGCGUCCGCGACUGGCAGAAGCAAAACAACCUCACGCACGAGGCGAAACUGAUCCCCGAAGGCCAGGGCUACUACAAUCAACCUGAAUUGAAACCGACUGAUCCAUCGGACGAAGAGAUGGAUAAGGAUCUCGAGGUGGGGCACACGACUAUCUGGGAGUCGAACCCGUGUCGCUACUUCGCGCAUAUUGAUUGGGAUGAUGAAUACAAAAAUAUUGAGGACGCCCGACGCUUGGAUGAUUGUCGCAAUGCGGUGCGGUUCAUGAAGGAGGCCGGUUUUGCUAAUGGGAAGUCUAAGUUGUGCCCGCAGAUCGACGGAGCGAAUUGUUUCCAGUUCAAAGACUCUGUCAAGUCGGGGCGAUGCUAUGCUAAGGUCAACACGGGGAAGGAGAGGAAGUAUAUUUUGUUGUACGACUGCGUGAAGGACUGGCAGAAGGGAACCAGUGGAAGUGGCGGAAGUAACGGAAGUGACGGAAAUAAUGGAACAAGUACAGAUGACGACUACGACUACCCGUCCGAACUGUCCGGAACGUCAUCAACAGGAAGUUGAAUAAAAUGUAAAACAGACCGGAGGGGAGAUCAAACAGAAUACAGUAAAUUUGAAUUUAAACUCUGCACUUAUCAUUUUGUACUGCCUAAAAUUAUUAUUUACCCUUGAUCAAAAUGAAGAAAUGCCCAUACAAAACAUAGGCAAAAUUAAAAACCGAAAAAUUUGGAGUGAAGUAUCACUUCAACUAAUAAAUUGGAAAAUUUUUUAGUAUAGUACCUCUACAGGUGCUUUUCCGUAAAUAUGAGUUCUCAUCUCAAGUAUCAUGCCAAAACAAUAAUUGGAACGUACAUUUUUAAAUAGUUUCAAACGUCAACAUUUUAAGGGACAAUAUUCUAGGAGGUAUCUUCGCUGUCAAGAGAUGAUUUAAACAUCAUCUCUAAAAGAAAUAAAAAUUAUUAUAAAUGAUCGGUGAUCGAAGUACUACCUUUAGAUGGCUACGAAGUCGAAGAAAACGAAUUUACGAUUGCACCGCUGCUGAUCACUGUCUGCGUUUUAUUACAGUUUUAAAAAGAAAACCAACCAAUAUGUUUCCCUGAAAUGGUAUUCAGAAAUAUCCACAAAAUAUUCUAGGGUUUCUUGUAAAGUUUCUUUUAAAUGUUAAAACCUAAUUUUGGACAGAAAUAUACGUUGUGUACUCUCGAAAAAAGUGAAUAGUUUGAGUUGAUUUUGCAAUCAUUGAGUUAAGUUACAUCCCUUCGUCCAACAAUUUUGCUAUCCCGGCUGUGACUAAGCGAUAACUACAAUUUGUUUUCCUACCGGGAGAAACGCAUCUUGCAUGUUAUUAUCAAUGAAAUGAGAGAGUAUACCCAAACACGCAUUGUAUAUAUACGUUAUAAUUUAUUAUAUACGUUCUUUUUAAAUUAUGUAAUUUUGUUCUAUCUUUUUUUUUGGAAGCCUCACUACCGCGUUGAGUAAAAACGCCGUUUAUAUUCAGUACCUUAGAGCCGAAAGGUACCUGAGUCACAUUUUGGAGAAAAAUCGAGUUAGUGUCGUUUUGAAAAUCUCCAACAACGGUUUCGUGAGUGUGGAAAAUUUGGUAGCUCUAUCUUACGCCGGUUAUGAGAUGAUACGGAAUUUCAAAAAUUACAAUUUACUUUGGAAUUAAUUGGGCCGACGCACGGGUUUCCCUGAUAUCUAAGAAUGACUAAAAUGGAAUUCAGUACCUUUUGACUCUGGGGUACUGAAUUUGGGCUUUGGCAAAUUUCCUCUGAUAAAAGAUUUAACUUUAUGGAAGGCUAGUAAUUUUUUCCCUCGGCAUUUUCACGUUACACUAGGGGGAAAAUUACCUGAAUUUGCGGUUAGGAGGAUCUCAUUUGAAUCAAGGAUCCAAAAAUUUCUUCCCAACAAACAUUUUACCUAUUUAAUCCACGAAAAAAUCCUUCAAAUUUGAAAUUUAAUAACAAUUCCGCUUUAAUUUAAGCAAGCCAUUUUUCCCAUUACAGUUGACGCAAUGAUUAUUAUCUGAAAAAUGAAAAAAAUCCACUUUUUUUUUUUAUUUUUUAGAGGUUUUUGCUUUACA